UACGAAGGGGGCUAGCGUUGUUCGGAAUUACUGGGCGUAAAGCGCGCGCAGGCGGUCUUCCAAGUCAGUGGUGAAAGCCCGGAGCUCAACUCCGGAACUGCCAUUGAAACUGUUAGACUUGAGGAUGAGAGAGGUGAGUGGAAUUCCCAGUGUAGAGGUGAAAUUCGUAGAUAUUAGGAAGAACACCGGUGGCGAAGGCGGCUCACUGGCUCAUUACUGACGCUCAGGCGCGAUAGCGUGGGGAUCAAACAGG
rnacentral:rRNA from 1 species